rnacentral:rRNA from 1 species
AUGAGGCCACGACCAAGCUGGAGUCUCCUCUCCUCCCUCUGCGUCGUGCCUCCCGAGCAGCGCCUGGUGGCCCUUUCCUCCCGCUGGGACCAGGAGCGCCGCCACCAGCUCUCCGCCUCGUCCCGCUUGUCCGCUGCUACCGUGAGUACCCAGCGCCGCCUGCUAUUGCCGUUCUGCUCGGGAACGAGCGAGCGAGCCUGGCGCACCUGCAGCGCCUCCAUGGAUCGCUUGCCCGGCGUGUGGGCUGUGCCCUUCCCCCUGUACAAGAAACCGCCGCGCCCUUGUUUUUUUGCUUUGACUUCCUGCCCGAGUUUCGUUUCCGUCAUGAACGUGGGGCAGCAGCUGAACCUCGUCAUGUUUCUGUCCAACACCGCAAGUCCGACUCCAAGACCACCUCAAGUUCGGCUACAUGUAACACUGUGUACGACUACAUAUCCGGGAUGCAUCAAGUACCCCACCGCCAAGACCGAGACCGCCCCGAACCACGUUGUCUCGCCGGAUCAUCAAGACCAUCUCGGUUUAUGCUAG